GUUCACCCUUCGAGUGCAUUAUCAGCAUUUACAUACGCAAGGUGCAGUUGCUCAUCAGUAUCAAGGGUAUCAAACAUACACCUCUAGAAGCAAAGACAGAUUAUGAAGUUAUUAGGUUGGAUGCAUCAGAAGCUUCGGCAGACUAGUGGCGAAACACUCAAGGAGUAUUCCAAUAUUGGGCAGCCAUUACUUAUUUACUUGAUGAACAACAGUACUACUACUCAAACCCAAAUUAUUGCUCCAGGACCUUGAGCAAAACACAGAUAGAAAACCAUCUGCAUAAAUCAGUUUUCAGGCCAGAAUCAGCAGGAGAGAAGAAGGACCUUGGAGAGGAACCUUCUUCUUUUUCUGAACUCUUCCAUGGUUUUCUUUCAAUUGGUACGCUUGGUACAGACCCAAUUAUUGUCGAUCCAUCUACACCAAUAUCAUCCAUCUCUGUUGAGAAGUUAGCUGAUGAAAGAACUGAAGUAACAGAAAGUGAAUUAAGGCUAAUAAAUGAAGAAUUGGUAAAAGUUCUGGGAGCUGAUAGAAAUGAUGGUAGCAAUGAUUCAUCUGUUACUGAUAGAAACAGCCAUGCCACUGCUGGACGACGCAACCAAGAAAGCACUAUUGGUCUUAUUGGCAAGCCCAUGGAAGGAGCUGAGAGUAGUAUGAAGGAGCCAAUAAUUUGUCCACUCCAGGGCUACCUUUUAAGCGCGGAAAUGGGAGUGCCAGAUACAACAGUGUCAAAGAAGGAAAAGAGGACAUCACUUGGAGAGCUGUUUCAAAAAACUAAAGUGGCCGAGGAAAAUUCUGGUUUCAGUUAUGAGAAGACAGAGAAGGAAUCAGAUAAAUCUGGCAUGAAGUUUAUGAAAAGGCUGCUGAAGAAGAAAAUGAUUCAUGAUUCCUCGAGAAGUUCAACCUCUUCUAAAGGAAACUCUGAUUCUGCUAAAGCAUACAAGAAACGGCCUAAGAUCCUACGCAUGUUCCACAGGAAAGUCCAUCCCGAGAUCUCAGUGGAACUUGACAAGUUACAGGUAAAUGGUAUGAAGAACAUCAUGAAUGAGGGCAUCAACAGUGAUAGAGACCAGAUGAACCCUGAUAUCACAAUAUGUCCUCAAAGGGUUCUGUAUAGGAAUGGCACAGGGCCGUGCAAGAGCCGGUCUAACUUACCCCAAGGCACCGAUGCAAGUGAUUCACAGGGGAACAGGGAGCACUGGAUUAAAACAGACACAAACUACUUGGUGUUGGAGCUGUAAGAGACAGAAUGGGGAGCUGAAGCUGAGAUCAAAACUUGUUGGAAUUGGACAACUUGUUGGAAUUGGACAUUUAGUUAAACAUUACUGCAUGUAAGAUACUCCUUUCCUUAUCAAAACUGUGUGAUCUAGCAGUGUUAUUUGAGCUUGAGACAAUGAUAAGAAUAAAAGAGGUUUUGUCAUGUAAAGUUUUAAAGGUUGCUUGUUUGAGAAUGUUAUGAUUGUAAUAUACGAGUAUUUGAAAUACUUUCUUAAAAACAAUUUAAUGAAAUAUUUGAUUGUAGAAAUUUUGUUUUCAUUCC